GACGAACGCUGGCGGCGUGCUUAACACAUGCAAGUCGAACGGAAAGGCCCUGCUUUUGUGGGGUGCUCGAGUGGCGAACGGGUGAGUAACACGUGAGUAACCUGCCCUUGACUUUGGGAUAACUUCAGGAAACUGGGGCUAAUACCGGAUAGGAUCUCCUGCUGCAUGGUGGGGGUUGGAAAGUUUCGGCGGUUGGGGAUGGACUCGCGGCUUACCAGCUUGUUGGUGGGGUAGUGGCUUACCAAGGCUUUGGCGGGUACCCGGCCUGAGAGGGUGACCGGCCACAAUGGGACUGAGAUACGGCCCAGUGUCAUACGUGAGGCAGCAGGGGAGAAUAUUGCACAGUGGGCGGAAGCGUGAUACAGCAACGCCGCGUGCGGGAUGACGGCCUUCGGGUUGAAAACCGCUUUCGCCUGUGACGAAGCGUGAGUGACGGUAAUGGGUAAAGAAGCACCGGCUAACUACGUG
rnacentral:rRNA from 1 species